CAGCGGAGUCUUUGAUCACGCUA
rnacentral:siRNA from 1 species